rnacentral:rRNA from 1 species
UACGUAGGGGGCAAGCGUGUCCGGAUUUAUUGGGCGUAAAGAGCGUGUAGGCGGCUUGGUAGGUCCGCUGUGAAAACUCGAGGCUCAACCUCGAGAUGGUCGGCGGAAACCACUUGGCUAGAGUCCGGAAGAGGAGAGUGGAAUUCCUGGUGUAGCGGUGAAAUGCGCAGAUAUCAGGAAGAACACCUAUGGCGAAGGCAGCUCUCUGGGACGGUACUGACGCUGAGACGCGAAAGCGUGGGGAGCGAACAGG